rnacentral:lncRNA from 1 species
ACCCUUCUAUACCAAUUGGGAUCGAUCCAUACUAGGAAUUUUCCCCAGGUUUGCCACCCAUAAUUAUACAAAUAGCUUCACUUAAAACCUUUAUCUUUGAGAUUGUUGUUUUGAUGUUCAUAACUCUUUUGAGAUUGUUCUUUUGAUUUUGGUGGUCAUAAUCAUUGUUGAGAUUUGGAGCUAUGAACCACUAGUAGAAGACUUGUGAAUAUAGACUUACGAUAAUAACAAUGAC